rnacentral:rRNA from 1 species
GUCUACGGCCAUGCCACUCUGAACAAACCUGACAUCUGAUCUCAGGAGCUAAGCAGGAUUGGGCCUGAUUAGUAAUUGGAUGGGAGGCCACCUAGGAAGACCAGGUACUGUAGGCA